rnacentral:tmRNA from 1 species
GGGAAUGCAACGGUUUCGACGGAAAGAAAGAUGUUUAGAACUGCAUUUAGUGUUGCUGCUACCACUUUAAAAAAGCAGAAAACAAUAAAAAACAAUAACGUAGAAAAUAACUACGCAAUGGCUGCUUAAUUUAAAGCAACCUCUCUUCAUGAGUUCCCGCUUAUCGGAAUUUUUGAAGUGAUCAUUUAGAUAAGAUAGUCCCGGAUGUCUUCUGAGCGUCCGGGAUGAAAAUAAAUCAGAAUAGCAAUUUGACCGGUCAGUCUUUCGAAUGGUGAAUUGUGAAACUUACAGGAAAAGACUAAAAAUGUAGACGUUUUAAUGGUCUUCUUUUCGGACCCGAGUUCGACUCUCGGCAUUUCCACUU